UACGUAGGGUGCAAGCGUUAAUCGGAAUUACUGGGCGUAAAGCGUGCGCAGGCGGUUGUGCAAGACCGAUGUGAAAUCCCCGGGCUCAACCUGGGAAUGGCAUUGGUGACUGCACGGCUAGAGUGUGUCAGAGGGGGGUAGAAUUCCACGUGUAGCAGUGAAAUGCGUAGAGAUGUGGAGGAAUACCGAUGGCGAAGGCAGCCCCCUGGGAUAACACUGACGCUCAUGCACGAAAGCUAGGGGAGCGAACGGG
rnacentral:rRNA from 1 species